rnacentral:rRNA from 1 species
UGGGGAAUUUUGCGCAAUGGGGGAAACCCUGACGCAGCAACGCCGCGUGGAGGAUGAAAUCCCUUGGGAUGUAAACUCCUUUCGAUAGGGAAGAUUAUGACGGUACCUAUAGAAGAAGCCCCGGCUAACUUCGUGCCAGCAGCCGCGGUAAUACGAGGGGGGCAAGCGUUGUUCGGAUUUAUUGGGCGUAAAGGGUGCGUAGGCGGUUUGGCAAGUCUUGUGUGAAAUCUUCGGGCUCAACCCGAAGCCUGCACAAGAAACUGCCGGGCUUGAGUAUGGGAGAGGUGAGUGGAAUUUCCGGUGUAGCGGUGAAAUGCGUAGAUAUCGGAAGGAACACCUGUGGCGAAAGCGGCUCACUGGACCAUAACUGACGCUGAGGCACGAAAGCUAGGGGAGCAAACA